AUCUAAGUACCCCGAGGAAAAGAAAUCAACCGAGAUUCCCCCAGUAGCGGCGAGCGAACGGGGAGGAGCCCAGAGCCUGAAUCAGCAUGUGUGUUAGUGGAAGCGUCUGGAAAGGCGCGCGAUACAGGGUGACAGCCCCGUACACAAAAGCGCAUAUGCUGUGAGCUCGAUGAGUAGGGCGGGACACGUGGUAUCCUGUCUGAAUAUGGGGGGACCAUCCUCCAAGGCUAAAUACUCCUGACUGACCGAUAGUGAACCAGUACCGUGAGGGAAAGGCGAAAAGAACCCCGGCGAGGGGAGUGAAACAGAACCUGAAACCGUGUACGUACAAGCAGUGGGAGCACAGGUUUACCUGUGUGACUGCGUACCUUUUGUAUAAUGGGUCAGCGACUUAUAUUCUGUAGCAAGGUUAACCGCAUAGGGGAGCCGAAG
rnacentral:rRNA from 1 species